rnacentral:rRNA from 1 species
AGAAUCAACGCUGGCGGCGUGCCUAACACAUGCAAGUCGCACGAGAAAGGGGAGCAAUCCCUGAGUAAAGUGGCGCACGGGUGAGUAACACGUGAAUAAUCUACCUCCGAGUGGGGAAUAACUGAGAGAAAUCUUAGCUAAUACCGCAUAAUACCCACGGGUCAAAGCAGCAAUGCGCUUGGAGAGGAGUUCGCGGCCGAUUAGCUAGUUGGCGGGGUAAUGGCCCACCAAGGCGAUGAUCGGUAUCCGGCCUGAGAGGGCGCACGGACACACUGGAACUGAAACACGGUCCAGACUCCUACGGAGGCAGCAGUGGGGAAUUUUGCGCAAUGGGGGAAACCCUGACGCAGCAACGCCGCGUGGAGGAUGAAAUCCCUUGGGAUGGUAAACUCCUUUCGAUAGGGAAGAUAAUGACGGUACCUAUAGAAGAAGCCCCGGCUAACUUCGCGCCAGCAGCCGC